rnacentral:rRNA from 1 species
CGGCGCGAUGAUGGUACGUUGAUUACACCAGUUUCCGAUGUAUCAUUAAGGUUAAGCAACGUUCGCGUGGUUACUAUCCGGAUGGGUGACCAUUUGAACAAUCGUGUAUUGUCUUUU